rnacentral:rRNA from 1 species
GAUGAACGCUGGCGGCGUGCCUAAUACAUGCAAGUCGAACGGGGAGAUUGUAGCAAUACGGUCUCCCAGUGGCGAACGGGUGAGUAACGCGUUGGUGACCUGCCCCGAAGUGAGGGAUAACAGUUCGAAAGGGCUGCUAAUACCGCAUGUGGUUGGAGAGAUUAGAGGCUUUCCAACUAAAGGUGCAAACCGCUUCGGGAGGGGCCUGCGACCCAUCAGCUAGUUGGUAGGGUAAAAGCCUACCAAGGCGACGACGGGUAGGGGACCUGAGAGGGUGACCCCCCACACUGGCACUGAAACACGGGCCAGACACCUACGGGUGGCUG